ensembl:misc_RNA
GAGACAGUUUAGAGUGAAGUUUACUGUAUACCCACAAGCUACAAACAGUGUAGAUAUCUGCCAUGUGAGUUUCCCCACACUGUCCUCUUAAUGACCUCAAGUCUGAUCUUGAAAGCCCUCACAAAGGUGAAGGAGAAAUUUAGUUCAACUCAUCCAUGGGCAUUUCCU